rnacentral:lncRNA from 1 species
UUCCCCCCUCCUUUCUCUCUUUCCUUCCUCCCUCCCCACUACCGACACCCUCCCUGGCCCUAGAGCCCAUCCCUGCUGGCCCGAUCAUAGUCACCACUGACCCGGCCUGGCCCCAUCCCCGUCGGCCCCCCGGUGGCCCAAGAAAACACCAAAAAAAACAAAUCGGUUGCCACCGGCCCGGUCACAGUCGCCAUCGGCUCGGCCCGAUCCAACCCAUCCCUA